GACGAACGCUGGCGGCGUGCUUAACACAUGCAAGUCGAACGGAAAGGCCCUGCUUUUGUGGGGUGCUCGAGUGGCGAACGGGUGAGUAACACGUGAGUAACCUGCCCUUGACUUUGGGAUAACUUCAGGAAACUGGGGCUAAUACCGGAUAGGAGCUCCUGCUGCAUGGUGGGGGUUGGAAAGUUUCGGCGGUUGGGGAUGGACUCGCGGCUUAUCAGCUUGUUGGUGGGGUAGUGGCUUACCAAGGCUUUGACGGGUAGCCGGCCUGAGAGGGUGACCGGCCACAUUGGGACUGAGAUACGGACCAGACUCCUACGGGAGGCAGCAGUGGAGAAUAUUGCACAAUGGGCGGAAGCCUGAUGCAGCAACGCCGCGUGCGGGAUGACGGCCUUCGGGUUGUGAACCGCUUUCGCCUGUGACGAAGCGUGAGUGACGGUAAUGGGUAAAGAAGCACCGGCUAACUACGUG
rnacentral:rRNA from 1 species